GUUUACAGAGCCCGAUUUGUUGUUCGAUUUCCCGUAGCUCGAAUUCAUGAUUUUAUUAUACCUCUCGAUAAACGAUCCGAUAAUUGAAAUGACAGAGAAACUAGAUCGGAUUCAAACGAAGACCAAAUCACGCGAAAAAUUCUGAGAUUGCAAAUCAGAAUGAAUGGAAAUUAGAUCAAGGGAAAUAGGAGAACCUAAAUGAGAUCUAAUCUGUGGAUUUAUCUGUCUUCGAGCUAACCUGCGCAGUGGGUGGCGCCGUCGUGAGCGGUGGAGCUGGAAUU
rnacentral:lncRNA from 1 species